GGACAAAUCUCUCAUUCCAUCUUCUAGAGAACCUUGGCUAACUGUUUGGUGGUUUCAAGUGUUUGAAACUAUAGGUUUCUAAAUUUGCAUGACAGACUUUAAGUAAAGUCAUGUUGAAGAAAAAGGACUGACUGACAGUCAACAAUGUACACUACCUUGUUUGGUAACCUGUUGGCUGCUUCCCUUGAAUCUCCCUUUUUACUUUCUUAAGCUUGAUUUGAGGGUAACUCCUUCGCUACUUAUCAUGGACUUCAUCCAUUGGUGAUGCUAUAAUUCAAGAGA
rnacentral:lncRNA from 1 species